AGAGGCUUCAUGAAUAGAAUUAGUGGCCCUACGAAAGAGGUUCCAGAGAGCUACUUUGCCAUUUCCAUCAAGUGAAGACACAGCAGAAAGCACGAUCUAUGAGAGAGCAGGCCCUCAACCAGGCACUGAAUCUGCCAGUGUCUUUAUCUUGGAUUUCUCAGCCUCCAGAACUGUAAGCAAUAAGUUACUGUU